ACGCUUGAAGUCAGUCGCGUUGACCGAGACUCAGCCUUGCCUCGGCUUGGUGUACUUCUCGGCUGACGGGUCAGCAUCAAUUUUGAUCCUUGGAUAAUGGCAAGGGAAAGGUAGCACCUUUACCGGUGUGUUAUAGUCCUCUGUCGCAUGCAAGGGUCGGGAUUGAGGAACUCAGCACGCACCUUUUCGGUGUCGGGGCCUCGGCCUACGUUACGUGCUUAGGAUGCUGGCAUAAUGGCUUUAAACGACCCGUCUUGAAACACGGACCAAGGAGUC
rnacentral:rRNA from 1 species